CGCAGUGGACUUAUCAGAUCAACCCUUUUAAAGUCUGUGAAACGUAAAAGUAGUAUUAUCCUUAUAUUGCCUAUUGUUUGUCGGUUUCUGUUUCUUUGCAGUGUCACCAGACUACUAUAAUGUUCAACAAGAUUCCACAGUCAAUGCCCCAUACCAGAUGAUAGAUCAUGCAGCUCAGUCCGCGCCAGCGCUGUAUGAAAGGAUGAACCCCACAAAUAACAAUGAUGGUGCCUAUGUUCAGCCUCGGAUGUGACCAGAGUAGCAACAGACGUCAUCUCUAUGACGUGUCCAGGAUCAACGUCACUGUGGACGCUUUAUAGGAUAUUAACAAUAUAUAAAUGUAGAUGUAAAUAAGAUGAUAUAUCCUGCAAAAAAUAGUUGCUAUAUAAAGUGAAGGAAUAUCUUUUUUGUAUUUGCUUUUCCUCUUGUUAAUUUUUAAUAAAUGAGAUUAGGUAAUAAUUUUUCAAUCCGUAUAACAUUUCUUGAGAUCUCUGUAUAAAUAUUACUAUGUUAAUAUUGCAGCCGUUAACUUUAUUUAUCAUACUGUAAAACUGUAAUUGGCGAACAAUAGUGGGAUUUUGUGCCCGCAAACUCAAGGCUUUUAUGUGAGUUGCCUCUGAUUCGUGUGAGAUGCCCCUUUCAAUAUCCCCACGCGCAGGCCCACGUCUGAUCCUUGGUUACGUGUCCACAUAAACACCAUCAAGCGCAAAACCACAUCUCAUCCCUGAUUACAUGCCCACAUGAAUAUCACCAAGCGCAAAUACACCUCUGAUCCCUGGCAGUUGUUCACAUAACAUCGCUUACACGAAGGGGGGGCUGUAUUCAGUGAGAGGGUGAAGCUGUAUUCAAUGAGAUUAAAAUCGAUUGGUUUACUGAUUGUGAUUGCUGAGGAAAUUGCCAUGCUGGAAAAUGGGCGCUCCAUGUCGUACAGGUUUAUGUAAGCCUACUUUGAAAUGUUCUUUUUUAACAUAAUAUGGUAGCGUCAUUUCUGUGCGGAAGAAAUAGAUUUUAUUCGCGGGAUAAAGUGAUUUUCUGUUAAGGAAUUUUUGUAAUUUUUAAUUAAAUCUGGUACAACGAAGAACCUUGAAAAAUACCAAAGAACAAUGGAAGUGUAUUGAAUUCAAUGCCAUUUAGAACAUGGUAAUAAUUUUCUCCUGUUGUAUUCGCUAUACAACCGAUCAAAACGAAUGGUAAAUAUGCUUUGCCAUCCGUUCAAACAAAAGAAAAGUGGUGGAAUUGUCAGCUUUGUUUGUUAUAAAACUUUUUUAUUUUGAACGACAACCUAACUUUCGUAACUUAUUACAUGUUUAUACAACGGUUUGUACGUGUUAACAAGGUCUUCAUCUACCGCGAAAAACAUCACACGAGAAAUGUCGACGCCUUGUUGCCACUCAGACCCCACCAACAUGCAGUGAGAACGGCGAAAUCUACAAUUUCCCUGCCCAAGGUGUUUGCUCUGUGGCCAUUCUUUCUAAAUCUGGAGUGGUUUUAGUUGAAUUGUAGCUCCAAGUUUUCGAAACGUGAACUCCCUGUGAGGAUAAAACUGUUUCUGGGCAUUACAUGUGUUAAUACUGUACUAGUGGCUACUGCAGUCAGACUGUGGUCAGGUUUUCAUGGAAAUC